rnacentral:rRNA from 1 species
UUGGAGGGCAAGUCUGGUGCCAGCAGCCGCGGUAAUUCCAGCUCCAAUAGCGUAUAUUAAAGUUGUUGCAGUUAAAAAGCUCGUAGUUGAAUUUCGGGAUUAGUACGUCGGUCGUGCCUUAGGUACGUACUGGUGUUACUGGUUCCUACCUUCUGACGAACCAUCAUGUCAUUAAUUUGGUGUGGUGGGGAAUCAGGACUGUUACUUUGAAAAAAUUAGAGUGUUUAAAGCAGGCUCGCGCUUGAAUACAUUAGCAUGGAAUAAUGAAAUAGGACGUUGAUCCUAUUUUGUUGGUUUCUAGGAUUGACGUAAUGAUUAAUAGGGAUAGUUGGGGGCAUUAGUAUUCAAUUGUCAGAGGUGAAAUUCUUGGAUUUAUUGAAGACUAACUACUGCGAAAGCAUUUGCCAAGGAUGUUUUCAUUAAUCAAGAACGAAAGUUAGGGGAUCGAAGACGAUCAGAUACCGUCGUAGUCUUAACCAUAAACUAUGCCGACUAGGGAUCGGAUGAUGUUAAUUUUUUAAUGACUCAUUCGGCGCCUUACGGGAAAC